UUAAGUUCAGCGCGUAUUCCUACCUGAUCCGAGGUCAACCUUAGAAGUUUCCUGGUGAGAGGAGAAGACCGGGUCCCGGGCGCCCUUAAGUCCGAUACGUGCUCCGUGAAAAGCUCAGUGUACCGGGGGAACCACAGGCCGCCGUCAUUGUCUUUGGGAGGGGCAGGAGCCCCCGAGGGGGCCUCCACCAAACCGUCCAA
rnacentral:misc_RNA from 1 species